GGUGGUUCUCGGGUGACACACCCUACAAGAAUCAGGCUCCCUCCUCGCUGGUUCUAGAUGCAUCACCCAAGAACCGCA
rfam:Myotis lucifugus cont2.576, whole genome shotgun sequence.